ensembl:lncRNA
CUUUUAUUUAUGCUGUCACUUGCUUGUUCAUGAUGCAAACAUUGACUCUUACCUUAGUAUUUAUUCCAUGAAUACUAGGGGAUAAUUUCUAAGGCUUUGGCUUCAAGUCCAUCCACAUGAAUGCAGAAUGUCCUAAAGUAGACUUUUUUUAAAAAUUGUGAUACAAAGUAUAAAUAUACCUAACAUAUGUGUCAUUUCACAUAACAACCCUUACUUCCACUAUGUGUAAAAGAUGUUAUUUGACCUCUGAACCGAGCUCAGUGGUUUCCUAGGUCACCUGCAGUGAGGAGGCACCUGGCUGGCACGUGUACAAGUGAGCCUGUGCUGGAUGCCUUGGACCUUGCUGCUGAUCGUGACCGGAAGCUGGUGGCUCAGACAGUAAAGAAUCUGCCUCCAAUGAAGAAGACGUGAGUUUGAUCCCUGGGUUGGGAAGAUCCCCUGGAAAAAGGAAUGGCUACCCUCUCCAGUAUGCUUGCUUGGGGAAUCCCAUGGACAGAGGAGCCUGGUGGGCUACAGUUCCUGUGGUUCCAAGGAGUUGAACAUGAGGCAAAUGACUUCAGCUGCUGCCCAGCAACAGCCGGUUCAUCAAAGCCUUUGAGAACAGCUUUGAAAAAUGUGUCAGCCAAUAGGCAGGCAGGACUGGCCUGGCAGCUGAGGGACCCCCUCGCUGGAGCAGAGACUUGGGUAGGAGCAGAUGGAGGCCUUCCUCCCCUUGGCUGGCUCUCAGGGCAUGCAGGCACUCAGAGCUCAGAAGCUCAGACCAGGGCAGAUUCUUGCCCUUGGCCCACAGCUCCAGGAGGAGCUUCUCCUAAGCCCCUCUGCAGUUUCCUCGGUGGGUGUGAGGCACCGGAUCUUAUCCAGGGCAGGCACCCUGCAAAGGUUUGCUCUCCCAUUACAUUUGCCUCGAGUCCUCUCACGUGUCAUUAAUCAAGCUGCUGAACCGAGCCGGCACUGCUGGAGCACGGCAUUCAUUAUAGUCCUCAAGGGAUUCAUUUCUCUAGAUUCCAGACCUCAUGGCUCUUGGAAUAGAGAUAUCUGUGCUGCCAGGAAGGCCCCAAGUCUGCAGCACACUACAGGCCACUCCGGGGACUUUCCCCGCAUCCCCAUCCCCAGGUUCUGUG